GUCUUCUCUGAACUAUAGCUUCACGUUUUUCUCACAUCCGGGAAUGCUGUGUGGACUAGGCAGACCUUCCUCUCCAGCACUGUGUAGGAAGGUCUGUCAAAUCAAGGCUAGUUUUGAGUAGACACCACAUUGGCUGAAAAUGAAAUCCAGACAACUAUAG